AUUGAACGCUGGCGGCAUGCCUUACACAUGCAAGUCGAACGGCAGCGGGGGAGAAGCUUGCUUUUCCUGCCGGCGAGUGGCGAACGGGUGAGUAAUACAUCGGAACGUGCCCUGUAGUGGGGGAUAACUAGUCGAAAGAUUAGCUAAUACCGCAUACGACCUGAGGGUGAAAGUGGGGGACCGCAAGGCCUCAUGCUAUAGGAGCGGCCGAUGUCUGAUUAGCUAGUUGGUGGGGUAAAGGCCUACCAAGGCGACGAUCAGUAGCUGGUCUGAGAGGACGAGCAGCCACACGGGGACGGGGAGACGGCCCAGAAUCCUACGGGAGGCAGCAGGGGGGAAUUUUGGACAAUGGGCGAAAGCCUGAUCCAGCAAUGCCGCGUGUGUGAAGAAGGCCUUCGGGUUGUAAACCGCUUUUGUACGGAGCGAAAAGGUCCUUUCUAAUACAGGGGGCUCAUGACGGUACCGUAAGAAUAAGCACCGGCUAACUACGUGCCAGCAGCCGCCGUAA
rnacentral:rRNA from 1 species